rnacentral:rRNA from 1 species
UACGAAGGGGGCUAGCGUUGCUCGGAAUCACUGGGCGUAAAGGGUGCGUAGGCGGGUCUUUAAGUCAGGGGUGAAAUCCUGGAGCUCAACUCCAGAACUGCCUUUGAUACUGAAGAUCUUGAGUUCGGGAGAGGUGAGUGGAACUGCGGAGUGUAGAGGUGAAAUUCGUAGAUAUUCGCAAGAACACCAGUAGGCGAAGGCGGCUCACUGGCCCGAUACUGACGCUGAGGCACGAAAGCGUGGGGAGCAAACAGG